UCCCCUGGGCGCGCUCCCUAUGGAGCAUGCGCAGUCCUCUGUGCCACGUUGGAAACUGCUGUGGCGAGCUGAGCGGGAGAACGAGGGCGGGGUGUUUGAGGGCUGAAUAUUGAAACCAGGGCCUCCUGGAUGUAAGAAAAGCACUUUAUCACCAAGGUAUAUCCCAGCCCUGGAGCAGCCUUUUAAGAGGCACUUCAUCACUAACACUUGCUGGAACAGGGAUUGAAUUCAGGACCUUGCGCUUGUGAGGCAGGUGGUGGCGCCACUGAGGCUUUCAUUCAACAAAUAUUUCUGAGCACCUACUUUAUACCAAGGACUUUUCUGGAAAGCGAAGAUAAGAUCUGAGCCUGUCUAGUCCAUUGGAGGAUGAACAUGCCUGGUGACAAGUGACAGAGUUGAGAAGACAUUGACUGAUGGCGUGUAUGAGUGCACUGUGGUUGCAAGCAGCACCCAUGUUGUGCCAGGAGGAGAGGUUGAUCUUGGAUUACCUGACUAGCUGAGCAUCAAGUAAACUGCCUGUCUUCUGGGUAGGGGUACAGUGAGGGUGCUGUUCUCUGGCCUCCGAUUUACCUGGAAAUCCUACUCAAGGUUAAAUGCAGGUUAAAUCAUUCCUUAAGGGAAACCUGACCCUCUCAGCCUGCUCCUGAGUGGCCAGGGAAUUAGGGAAUCACAUUCAACAGCUGUGGGCACCAGUGACACCCCAAAGCUGCUCACCAUGUGGCUGCAAGUGUAGCUAAAUGGCCAGGCUUCCCCGCUGCAGCACCAUUUCCUUGGAGUUCUGCUCUGUGAAGUGGCUGCCUCCUCAUCGACUGUCCCUAUGUCAUCUUCACAUAAACUGAGGCUCUCACCUCAUCACCUUCCACCUUUCUUUAGCCUUAAUUCUUCACCACUUUAUGCAGAGAUUUCCAGCUCUGCAGAGCUCAUUUCCUGUGCACCUUUGUCUGUCCUCUGGACCAUACCUCUGGAAACCUCUGGGUUUCCCCCAUCUACUUGGAGGCAGAGGCACCGUAACCCCAGAGCCCAUCAUUCCUGCUGCAUUGGACCCUCAGCUAAGCAGAAAUCACAGACUGGAAGUGGGAAGGAGGAAGCAGGAAGUGAUGUGGCUAUUUAUGCUGCUCCAGAGCCCUUCCUCUGAGGCCUGGAGGCCAGGCCAUGAGGUCAAUGGAUUUGUUCUGCCACAUGUUUCUGCCAUGAUGUAGCCUCACCACAGAUCUAAAGGGCCCACGCUAGCCUGGGAGGAGAUGAAACACCACGUGUGGGAGAGCUAGGUGUCCCAGCCACCACCAGCCUGUGCCCAGCCUUCCUGAGAGCUGAUGGCAGAUACAUGAGCCUGGCCUUGAUUGGCAGAACUACCCAGGUCUUGGAGACAGCAAUGUUGUGCUUGCAGAGCAUUCCCAGAGGUAGAAACCUCUGGGAAGCCAACUGAUUUCUAGGAUCACCCAGCAUGAGAAGAUACCUUGGAUUCUACCUGGUCCAAGGAUGACAAUGACUCCCAAGGCAUCUUCAGGUUGUCUUCCAAAACAAGCAUUCACACAAAAGGUGUGAAUGGAUAAAGAAUCAAUCCUGCAGACAUCCUAAGGUCAAAAAGUGAUGAUGAAGAAGUUCCUCCAGGCUUCCAACGCAGACUCUUCCUUCAGCUUUCUGAGAUGAACUCGCACCAGACUCUCCAGUGAGCUCCAGACCUUUGGCCUUCCACUCCAGCCUCCAGUUCUCUGGUGCACAGACGGCCACGGUGCAUUCUUCCACCCUGACUCCACAGGCAGCCAUUGCAAGCUCACAUAGUAAAUCCUUCAUCUAAUCAUAUACACGUUUUAUAUUAAAUCAUUUCCUCUGGAGAUCCCUAACUGAUGCUAGGACCGUCUUCAUGAAAAAGGCACUGCAGUGUUUUGUAGCACAUAGGGACCUUAAGGCUAAGAGUGACCAACUGUCCUAAUCACUCAGGCCCAAAACUGGAGACGUUCUGGAAUGUUCUGAGCUGAAUUUCUCACCCUAUCUGGCAGGGAGGCAAUCUAUGCAUUCUACAGCUGACACACAUGUGUGUGUAUAACAGACACACACUUGUUAUGCAUAUACACAUACAGGAAUAGAACUCAUAGGUUUGACCUUGAAAAGUUACUUUUCUUGUUAG